AGCGAACGCUGGCGGCAGGCCUAACACAUGCAAGUCGAACGAACUCUUCGGAGUUAGUGGCGGACGGGUGAGUAACACGUGGGAACGUGCCUUUUGGUUCGGAAUAACUCAGGGAAACUUGUGCUAAUACCGAAUGUGCCCUUCGGGGGAAAGAUUUAUCGCCAUUAGAGCGGCCCGCGUCUGAUUAGCUAGUUGGUGAGGUAACGGCUCACCAAGGCGACGAUCAGUAGCUGGUCUGAGAGGAUGACCAGCCACACUGGGACUGAGACACGGCCCAGACUCCUACGGGAGGCAGCAGUGGGGAAUCUUGCGCAAUGGGCGAAAGCCUGACGCAGCCAUGCCGCGUGAAUGAUGAAGGUCUUAGUAUUGUAAAAUUCUUUCACCGGGGACGAUAAUGACGGUACCCGGAGAAGAAGCCCCGGCUAACUUCGUG
rnacentral:rRNA from 1 species